UGACAAUAAGGUUAGAAUCAAGGAACCCAGCGUUGUUCAUGGCCUCGUAUGCUUGACCAGCAGUCAUGGCUCCAUCUCCAAUCACAGAAAUGACAUUGUUGUUUUUCCCCAGUAGAUCUCUUGCAACUGCCAUGCCUGAUAACAACAUCAGAUUAAUGAAGGAGAAGUUUCUGUGGCAAAGAAAAUACCUAGACCAGCAGAGAUGCUGGUAGAACUAUGUCCAGCUCCAAAAGCAUCAUAAAUACUCUCCUCCCUCUUUGGAAACCCAGCAAGCCCUGAAGUUUUCCUCAUGGUGUGCAUUUUAGACCUUCUUCCAGUAAGGAUUUUGUGCGGGUAUGCCUGCAAAGUGCUUUGAAGGUUACUCUUGUAGACAUCUCAAGAGGGGUAUUAAACACAUGAUGCAGAGCCACUGUCAGUUCCACUACUCCUAAGCUUGCACUAAGAUGCCCUCCAGUCUUCGAUACG